AUGUCUUAUACAUGGCGGAGUAUUUUGAAAGGCAUCAACCUGCUGAAAAAGGGCCUAAUUUGGAGAAUUGGAGAUGGCCGAAAGGUGAGCAUCUGGCAUGACCCAUGGAUUCCUAGAAACUUCACUAGAAAACCAUGCACUCCAAAAAGCAAUAGCCCUCUGAAUCUAGUAGCUGAAUUAAUUAACCCGGAGACUGGAAGUUGGAACAUGGAUAUUCUGGAAAGGAAUUUUUGGGACGAAGACGUCAAGGCUAUUUUAAGUAUCCCAAUUAGUAUAGACUAUGAUGAUGAACCUGCUUGGCAUGUGGAUACAAAAGGCUUGUUUUCAGUAAAGACGGCAUAUCAUGUCUAUGUGGAGGAAGAGAGGAGGAGAAGCCAGAAAGGGGUAGCAGGACCAUCUACGCAAAAUGUUGAACAUGAAGUAAACUGGAGAAAGAUUUGGAAGUUAAAGUGCCCAAAUGAUAUAAAGCACUUCAUUUGGAGAUUAGCCAUGACUCUUUGGCUUUGA
rnacentral:rRNA from 1 species